AAAUGCACUGUGUCACUCCCAUGUGAUUGGCUAAUAAUUAUGUGUGUUACUGUACAGCUGAUGUACAGCACUGGUGCACUAACGAAUCGGCCAGUGAGUAAAUCUGUACCUAACUUGUUUCAUAGACCUGAAUAUGAUAGUUCAGUAGUUUCGUAUGAUCGAUCAUCUGUGGGAUGUGCUAGACAAACAAGUCUGAUCCAUGGAAGCCUGACUUCACAACUUACAGGAUUUAAAGGAUCUGUUGCUAAAAUCUUGGUGCCAGAUACCAAAGCACAUGUUCAGGGCUCUCUCUAGUGGAGUCCAUGUCUCAAUGGGUGAGGGCUCUUUUGGCCAACACAAUAUUAGGCAGGUGGUCAUAAUGUUAUGUCUGAUCAGUGUACAGUACAGUUCAAACAUGAUGCAUUCUGGAUUAAUUUUGUUUGAUUUCUUUUCUAAUCGAACUGGUGGACUGAUUUUUGGAUCAUGUGAUUGAGAGCUGAUGAAGAAUGGUGUGUGACUGUGGGGUAGAGAAGAUGGACAUUCUGUCAUGGUCCCCGUGCCUCGCUGGCUGACUCUGUGUUAGGCAACACGUUUUGUUUGUUUUUUGCUCUCUCUCUCUUUCUCCUCCGCCGGGGCGGUGCUCAUUACGGGCUCCCGCCCCUGGCCCACGCACCUGUGCUCUCCGUCACACCUGCAGCUGAUCCUAGCCGAUUGAAGCACUAUUUAUGAUGGCGGACCUGUGUUAUUCUUCGCUGGAUCGUUGAGCCAUAAGCGUCAGUCCCUCUGAAUCGGAAUCUGAUUUCUGGUCUGCGCCUGAGUCCGUUUCAAACUCCGUGACAAAACGAUCCAACCAUCAUGGACUCAUCAGGUCAGGAUCCCGUGGCUUAGGCGCUGGCUGCCCAGGAAGCUGCGUUAGCUCGCCAUGAACAAAUGCUGAUGCAACUGAGGAAUGAGAUCGCUGCGUUAACUCAGGCUGUCGCCCGAUUAACACCUCUGGAAAGCAAUGCGCAGCCAGGGAACGCAGCUCCGGCGGCUAGCCCACCUUCAGUAGCCACACAAUCUCCAGGGGGACCGCUGCCCACUCCAGAGCCAUUCUCAGGUGAGUCAGACAAAUGUGCCGGUUUUCUAGCUCAUCUUUUGAGAGCAGCAACGUUGUCAUAAUAACGACGGAGCAAAAAUUACCUUUUUGUACAACUGCUGAGGGAUCAUGCACUGAAAUGGGCCCAGGUUGUGUUCAACUCUGACCCUGGGAUUUCCUAUACAGCCUUUCUGUCUAAAUUUAAGACUGUGUUUACCAAAGGUUCCAGUGCCGAAACGGCUGCACUCUACCUAUUAAACUUCAAACAAGGUAAGCGGAGCAUGUCUGAUUAUGCAAUUGACUUUUGGAUUUUGGCUGAAGACACGGGCUGGGGUCAGGAAGUGCUGAGAAGCGCGCUUCUGAAUAACAUUCGUGAGGAUUUGAAGGUUGAACUAAUCAUGCAUGACCUGCCAACUUAAUUCAAUGAACUAAUGUCUCUAUGCAUCAAGGUGGAUGAGCGGCUGCGGGUCGCAAUGACACUACAACUCCCAUUAGGUACUGGGGCAAUGCCCAGCUUAUCUGCGAAGGUAAUGGCCUGAAGAUGCUGAUGAAGCAGGCGUUAAAGCUGAAGGAUGCACUGGUGAUGAAGAUGAUCAGGAAUCUGUCUCAGCAUGAUGGACCCACCAAACAUUUGUUCUUGGUGCGUACAUUUAAAAUGAAUCCUACUGAGUCUCCUGAGGAUUAAUUGGAGACCUUGCCGCUCUGAUCAGUGAGAACAAAGCUGAGAAGUUUGUGGUCGAGUGUCUUGGGACACUGGCCAACCUGACCAUCCCUAAUGUGGACUGGGCUCUGGUGUUCAAGGAGUACUACCUGGUCCCUUAUUUGAACGACACACUCAAACCAGGUGGGUGUAUAUGGUUUCUUACACCAUUUAACUGCCUGCAAGAAAAACCAAGAAGUUUUUAAAGAACGUGUUUGUCUCAGCCAAACAGAAGGAUGGUUUUCCAUGAAGCUACGAGAUGUGAUUAUCAAAGACACCCAGGUCCUAGCUUACCUCAUCAACCUAUUGCACACUAACAAUCAGUAUCAGUAGAGUCUGUCACGACACCCCUGAUAUCAUCACUGUGAGUAUGUAGAUCAGUCGUCAGGGUCAGUCAGUAUGCUUUACUGACAAGUUUGGUCAGAUAGAACACUUAUGCACAGGAGAAAGUGCUUUUGUGAAUGGGUGUGUGUACAGGACAGUAGAAAUGUGCUAUAUAACAAUCACCUCAUUUAAUCAUUCAUAGAAGCACUUUUUUUUUUCUACGGAAGUGUUUUCUGUAAUUUAACUUGACAGGGGCAUGCACAAAAAUAUGAUUCCUGCUAUGGAUCUCUGAGAAAUGACAUGGGUUUCCUUGAAACUGUGCUGAGCAUGAACAUCUAAGACAGAAUACUAGCGUUUCAGACAAAACAAUAAAUAUAAUACAAUAGUAAAACCAACAAAUUACUUAAAAAUAAAAAGGGUUCUAUGGAUCUGUGGAUCAUUUCAGUGUCAAAAAGAUCUACUGCUAAGAUCAGAAGACUAAAGGUUUGAAUUAAUUGAAUCUUCCAGGUAAGAACUGUUAUAAUGUGAUGCAUAUUACAGAAUUCCGUAUUUUCGUUGUAUUUAUUAAAUUGAAUCAGAGCCCACAUUACAAAAGAAAUGUUUUAUUAUUCUACAAAAACAUUUUUUAAUAAUUAAUCUAAAUUCAAAAUCCAGUUCACUGAACUUCAUUCUAUGCGCUAGCAUUUCUGCACUCUGUGUGGAGCAUUCUUACAACAGAUGCUCUGUGCUCAGAGUAGAAAAGCACUACAUAUACAUUUACCAUUUAUAAUUUCUAUUCAAAAGUGAUUUUUCUCUGUUGAUCCUCUCAAUCCUCUCUUUAAGUCAGACCUUCUCUCAAAUUUCACAUCAGUGAUUAACUAACUGAUGAAUUUCUUGUGACUGACACGUGUGGUCAGCUCCCAGUCAGUGUGUGAUCACUACCAGACCUCAGAUCAACAUAAUUAGCUGUAGAUUAGAGACAGGCAGUGCAACAGGGCAAAGGAAGUGUUUCAUUGAAAUUAUCAGUGAGACCUAUUAAGUUGUGAACCACAUGAAAGGUAGCCAUUGGGGCUCUGGAGUGUGUCAGCAGCUGGACAGCAGAGGUGAGAGAGAAAGCAGAACUGUGGACACAAACACACACAUCAUUAUUGCUUGGCAAUGUGGGAUCCUUUUGGCAGCACACGCCAUAACUGCGCAGUCCUGAAAUGCUUGCCUUUGAUCAUUGCAGCUCUGCUCAUGUACAAAUACACAUUAACAUAGUGAUGGUUUCAUGUGAAACUUUGUAGAUGCUCCAAGAGGGAAACAGGCCCAAUUCACAAUGAUAUUCUUAGCCUGGGUGUAUUUCCUUAGGAAUAUGUUCAAAAGCUCCCAAAACCUGUUAUGUGCUUCCUUAGCCCUGCUGUCAUGAGCUCAGCUUAU